rnacentral:misc_RNA from 1 species
AAUUCUCAACCUUCCAGCUUUUAUUAGCUUGGUUAGGCUUGGAUGUGGGGGUUGUGGGCUUCAUUAAUGAGGUCAGCUCUCCUUAAAUGCAUUAGCGGAACUUUUGUGGACCGUCUAUUGGUGUGAUAAUUAUCUACGCCGUGGAUGUGAAGCAGCUUUAUAAAGUUCAGCUUCUAAUCGUCCAUUGACUUGGACAAUAUUUGACA